rnacentral:lncRNA from 10 species
AGAACAUCUGCAAACCCUCUGAAUACCUUCUUUCUUCCUUCUAGUCUGCCCUGCCCUCAAAUCCUAUGUGAUAACUAAAUAAUUCCUAUUCUGUAUCCUUUCCAUGCCUUUGCUCACACCAUCUCCUAUGCUACCCCAUCAUCUUUGUACAACACUCAACACCUGUUAAGGCUGGGCUCAGAUUCCAUUUCCACAAAACCCUUCCAGAACCUUCUAGUUAGCAGAAGUUAUCCUCUCUCUGUGCCUCCAUGGUAUUCUGUGUCUUUGUUAU